AGUAGAGGCGGGGUUUCACCAUGUUGGCCAGGCUGGUCUCAAACUCCUGACCUCAGGUGAUCCACCCACC
rnacentral:miRNA from 1 species